rnacentral:rRNA from 1 species
GAGUUUGAUCUUGGCUCAGAUUGAACGCUGGCGGCAUGCCUUACACAUGCAAGUCGAACGGCAGCACGGGAGCUUGCUCCUGGUGGCGAGUGGCGAACGGGUGAGUAAUGCAUCGGAACGUAUCCUGGAGUGGGGGAUAACGUAGCGAAAGUUACGCUAAUACCGCAUAUUCUGUGAGCAGGAAAGCGGGGGACCUUCGGGCCUCGCGCUCUUGGAGCGGCCGAUGUCGGAUUAGCUAGUUGGUGGGGUAAAGGCUCACCAAAGGCGACGAUCCGUAGCAGGUCUGAGAGGAUGAUCUGCCACACUGGAACUGAGACACGGUCCAGACUCCUACGGGAGGCAGCAGUGGGAUUUUGGACAAUGGGGGCAACCCUGAUCCAGCCAUGCCGCGUGAGUGAAGAAGGCC